AGAGUUUGAUCCUGGCUCAGGAUGAACGCUGACAGAAUGCUUAACACAUGCAAGUCUACUUGAAUUUGGGUUUUUAACUUAGGUUUGGGUGGCGGACGGGUGAGUAACGCGUAAAGAACUUGCCUCACAGCUAGGGACAACAUUUAGAAAUGAAUGCUAAUACCUAAUAUUAUGAUAAUAGGGCAUCCUAUAAUUAUGAAAGCUAUAUGCGCUGUGAGAGAGCUUUGCGUCCCAUUAGCUAGUUGGAGAGGUAACGGCUCACCAAGGCGAUGAUGGGUAGCCGGCCUGAGAGGGUGAUCGGCCACAAGGGGACUGAGACACGGCCCUUACUCCUACGGGAGGCAGCAGUGGGGAAUAUUGGACAAUGGACCGAGAGUCUGAUCCAGCAAUUCUGUGUGCACGAUGAAGUUUUUCGGAAUGUAAAGUGCUUUCAGUUGGGAAGAAAAAAAUGACGGUACCAACAGAAGAAGUGACGGCUAAAUACGUGCCAGCAGCCGCGGUAAUACGUAUGUCACGAGCGUUAUCCGGAUUUAUUGGGCGUAAAGCGCGUCUAGGUGGUUAUAUAAGUCUGAUGUGAAAAUGCAGGGCUCAACUCUGUAUUGCGUUGGAAACUGUAUAACUAGAGUACUGGAGAGGUAAGCGGAACUACAAGUGUAGAGGUGAAAUUCGUAGAUAUUUGUAGGAAUGCCGAUGGGGAAGCCAGCUUACUGGACAGAUACUGACGCUGAAGCGCGAAAGCGUGGGUAGCAAACAGGAUUAGAUACCCUGGUAGUCCACGCUGUAAACGAUGAUUACUAGGUGUUGGGGGUCGAACCUCAGCGCCCAAGCAAACGCGAUAAGUAAUCCGCCUGGGGAGUACGUACGCAAGUAUGAAACUCAAAGGAAUUGACGGGGACCCGCACAAGCGGUGGAGCAUGUGGUUUAA
rnacentral:rRNA from 1 species